AUACUUUGGUGGCGACCGGCGCACGGGUGCGUAACGCGUAUGUAACCUACCUAUAACAGGGGCAUAACACUGAGAAAUUGGUACUAAUUCCCCAUAAUAUUCGGAGAGGCAUCUCUCCGGGUUGAAAACUCCGGUGGUUAUAGAUGGACAUGCGUUGUAUUAGCUAGUUGGUGAGGUAACGGCUCACCAAGGCAACGAUACAUAGGGGGACUGAGAGGUUAACCCCCCACACUGGUACUGAGACACGGACCAGACUCCUACGGGAGGCAGCAGUGAGGAAUAUUGGUCAAUGGACGCAAGUCUGAACCAGCCAUGCCGCGUGCAGGAAGACGGCUCUAUGAGUUGUAAACUGCUUUUGUACGAGGGUAAACUCACCUACGUGUAGGUGACUGAAAGUAUCGUACGAAUAAGGAUCGGCUAACUCCGUGCCAGCAGCCGCGGUAAUACGGAGGAUUCAAGCGUUAUCCGGAUUUAUUGGGUUUAAAGGGUGCGUAGGCGGUUUGAUAAGUUAGAGGUGAAAUCCCGGGGCUUAACUCCGGAACUGCCUCUAAUACUGUUAGACUAGAGAGUAGUUGCGGUAGGCGGAAUGUAUGGUGUAGCGGUGAAAUGCUUAGAGAUCAUACAGAACACCGAUUGCGAAGGCAGCUUACCAAACU
rnacentral:rRNA from 1 species